GUGGGGAACGACCAGAGCAGGAAGAAAAAGGGUAAAACCCUAAACUCCACAAAAUCUUCUAAUUGAAGGUGCAAUUGAAGACCAAACUCGGAUUUGAAUACAUAUAAACGAUCACCGAGCUAAGGGGAUCGUAAGUUGACUCUAAACAAGCUAGGUGGGAGCUUGGAAAGGAACGGGUCAAACGGAUCAUGGAUGCGAAGAAUGUUUGCGCGAACGCGAGGUAAGUAAAGCUUACACCCAUUUGUAGUAAACGUAUGUAUUUUAUAGAUGAUAAAUGUGACAACCGAUUACAUUCGAAAUUGAAGUUCCGACACUAAGCAAUAUGAGUCGGAACGAAUAAAAAUGAUCAAAACCAUGGUUAAUGGUAAAAUGGACAAAAGGGUAAUUUAGUCGUGGAUCGACUAAGAAUUUAUAAGAUUUCUUUAAGGUUACCUUAUAGCGAAACUAGUAAUGGGAAAAAAGGGUAAAUUAGUCACAUGUUGACUAUAUGUAAGUUGGGAUUAAAAAGAAUACCCAUGGUGUAAGCCAUAACGAGUUAGAUACGUAAGAAGAAUGAUCUUGUAGUUAAAACUUGAAAUGGGUUGAAUGGGAUAUUAAAAGCCAUGAUUUGACAUAAGUAUAAAUGUUUGGUCAUAAAUACCAAAUGGGUCAAAUGGUGGUGAUGACACUAUUUGACAAUAUCGACUAAUGUUUGGUUGUUAAGUUAAAUGUUCGCAGGAGUGAACGGGAAGUGGAUUAUUGCGUUGCUAUAAAGUAGCGGCUAAUAAAAGAAAGGUACAAAACGGGUCUAUAUGUUGACUCGAGCCAGGAGAAUGCCAAGAGUGCCCGGAUGAAGAUCAAGCUCGAUGAGGAACCGAACACAAUAAAAUCUAACACUCGGGAUUAAAGCUUCCGCACGGCGUUACGCCAUAUCUUUUAAACAACGAACUUAUCUAUAUUAUGUUGAAAACUUUUAAGUUGUAAAAGUUUUAGAUUACUUGUAUUUUCUAAGAAUACUUAAUCGAAAUUUCAUGU
rnacentral:lncRNA from 1 species